CGGGAUGUGGCUCAGGUGGUAGAGCGCCUCGUUAGGGACGAGGAGGUCGCAAGUUCAAGUCUUGUCAUUCCGA
rnacentral:tRNA from 1 species